ACAGAGAAGCGGGAGGAGAGACCUAACAUUUCUUUUCCGUGUGAGUCCACAUCUCUUCCACACAGCAUGAGGUCCCGUUCCACUCUCGAGCCGCCGACCCUGCCCUGCCACAGGCCACCCGUCGCGUGGCGCGAAGCAGCCGUAGACACACGCCGGCGCGGCACUGCGCCAACUCGGGCAUCGCAGCACGGCCUCUGCCUCGAGCCCUCCCCACCCACCCGCCUUGCAGUGCCGCCUCACAGCCGCUCCCCAUUUGUGCCGGUGGCCGCGUGGUGCAUCUCCCGCGGUGGCGCAGGCUCCCUCCACCGGUGGGCGGCGAGGGCGGGGCGGGAUGUGCUCGAGUCGCGCUGGCGCCUCGUCGAUCGUAUGGAUGGUGCAGGCGUGCUCGCGGUCUCGGGUCGCUCCGACGCCACGCCGUCGAGGAUGUGGCCGUCGGCAUCGGUGGCGAUGAGGCGCCCUGACUUCGCCACGUCGCAGGCGCUCGGCCCUGUGACCGCCGGAAGUGGCUCUGGCACUUGGCAGGGAUAGAGGGACCGCCUGGCUUCCUCACACAGUGGGGGUGCUGGACCCUGAGAUGCCACGCACGGAGAGGUGUUUGCCCCCCCCAACACACGCACACACCUCUCAUCGGAUGUGAGCGAACUAACGAGAGUAAAAGGGGACGAUGCCGAUGCGUUAUGUGUGGCCACGAAGCACGCUAUGCCGGUGUGUAUGUCUACGCACAGGCCGGGUGGAUGUGUGUGGUGGUGGUAGGAAGGGGGGCGAGGGGUGCUCACACACACGCCAGAGAGAGAAAAGGUCACGCAUACGCACACACCAGCACGCGCGCAUUCCAUGCUUUCGUUGAUUUAGCUUUCAUUUUCUUUGUUGUUUCGUCUGUCUCGGCUCUCCUUUUCUCUACCCAUCUGCAUAUGCAUAUAUCAUGUUGAAG
rnacentral:misc_RNA from 1 species